rnacentral:rRNA from 1 species
AUGAACGCUGGCGGCGUAGCCUAACACAUGCAAGUCGAACGGGGUGUACUGAUCUUCGGACUGGACACUUAGUGGCGGACGGGUGAGUAACGCGUGGGUAACCUGCCUCAGUACAGGGGGAUAGCAGUUGGAAACGACUGAUAAUACCGCAUAAGCGCACAGUACCGCAUGGUACAGUGUGAAAAACUCCGGUGGUAUGAGAUGGACCCGCGUCUGAUUAGCUGUUGCGGGUAAGGCCACCAAGGCGACGAUCAGUAGCCGGCCUGAGAGGGUGAACGGCCACAUUGGGACUGAGACACGGCCCAAAUCCUACGGGAGGCAGCAGUGGGGAAUAUUGCACAAUGGGGGAAACCCUGAUGCAGCGACGCCGCGUGAAGGAUGAAGUAUUUCGGUAUGUAAACUUCUAUCAGCAGGGAAGAUGAUGACGGUACCUGACUAAGAAGCCCCGGCUAACUACGUGCCAGCCGCCGC